ACACUAUUCUAGGCAGUGGGGAUGCAACGGUGAAGCCGAGGACAAGGCCCCCAUGCGAAGGAAACAGGGAGCAGAUCUGCAGAGAUGAAAUGCCAGGGUUGGCCGGGAAUUCCAUACCCGACCUGAAUCCAUAUCUACCGGACCCCACAUCUGCCGUCCGACCCAAUGAGGGAGAUAAUAGUUGGCACCGAUGCUCUUUCCUCAUGAUCACAAAAUGGCUAUUACCGUUAUGAACGUACAUCUUUAUGCCACGAUCUCCAGGAGUAGAGAGAAGAAGAGAAAUGGAGUGGAGUGGUUAAGAGCAGUGAAUCUGAAGCCUGAUCGCUUGAGGUUGAAUCCUGGCUAGCCCAAUGACCUUGGCCAAGUUCCUAAACCUCGGGCCGCACCUGUGGCACAUGGAAAUUCUCAGGCUAGGAGUUGAAUUGGAGCUAUAGCUUCUGGCCCACAUCUGCAAUUCAUGCCAACGCCAGAUCCCUAACCCACUGAAUAAGGCCAGGGAUCGAACCUGCAGCCUCAUGGAUACUAGUUAGAUUUGUCACCGCUGAACAACAAUAGGAACUCGCAUUUUUAGACCAGGACCCACACACAGUGGUUCUCUCUUGCUCUUUGCACCUAGGGAUAACGGUGGAAUGGCCCAUGACUUCUUUAUGAGGUCAGAUACGCUUUAACAUCUUGAGCCUUUCAAAGUGCUUCCCUCAGUCUGGACUGAAGCCUGACCAACACUGGCAGAGAUGGGCCUUUUGGGAAAAUGACAGCGAAAGUCUCACGGACGCAGACUGAAAGAAGUCAAGGCUGCUUUUCUGUCCUUCCUAUCAUGUUGUCUGGCUUAGAUUUUGGUUAGGAAAUUUUAGUUAGAACCAAAAUCAGUUCUGAGUCAGUGGAUUGGGCAUUUCUGAACCUCCCAUGCCUCUGUAAAAUGUGGUUAAUAAUAGCAUCACAUUUAAAGAUUAAUUUAUACAGUGCAUUUAAGAGUGUUUAGAACCAUACGGUAAGUUCUAAACAGUAAAGAGGAAGCACUGGUUUUCCCUACACAUUAUUCCAGAAGAAAGAGGGAUGUUCUGAGAUGGAGAUGAGAGAAUGAGCUAAAGGAUGUACCACUUACCUAAGGCCAGGAGGCAAGUCCUGGAGGAUGGAACUUAGAGGGUGUUUGGCUGACCCAGCCCAUCCAUCUAACUGGGGCGGCCACAUAGUUUUGGUGAAAAGCGCGUGAGAGUGGGAUCUUUGGUAAAUGGGGACUGAGACAUCAGUCCUGAAGGGUUGCUAGAUUAGCGAACUAGUGGAUAAAGCAUGUGAUUGGAACUUGGCACAUAGUAGGGGCUGGAUAAACAGUGCCAAUAAUAAUAGCCUUCUCUUACCACAGCUGGACCCCUUCCUCAGAGUGCUCUGAAUUCAGAGCCUUCCUCAAGCUAAGGAAAUGGCAGUUUGCUUGAAUACAAUGGUCUUUUUAAGGCAGCUCAGAUGUUUAUCUUAUUCUAAUAUUUACCCUUUUGAAUAGGAUUUUCGGGUGGCUUAUUUUUUAUUGCUCUAGGGAGUGGGGUUACACAGUGUUAAGCUUAAUAUCAACCUUUAAGUGAAAAAUGGAUAAAACUGAGAGAAAACCCGCUUCUGACCCAGGGGAGAAAAAGGCUCUGGUAAAAUCUGGCCUGGAUUCUUCUCCACAUCACCUUAGGGCCAGGGAGCCCAGGGGAAUACCUGGAAGUGGUUCAGAUUGGUUUGAACAUCUAUAAAGGUUUAGCAGGAACCCUCUCCAGUCCAAUGGCCAGGAGCAUCUGGAAUGUUCUAACAUCUGAUUGCCUAUUGGCAAUGGUGAUUUAUCCUAAGCCCAGAUAAAUUGCUCUGGAUUGAACCAGAGGUCACACCUCUCACUGCCAUGUGGUCUUAGGUCUGGCCAGCCUUCCAAUUUAAGUCUAAGUUAAAUCCUUCAUCAUUAAUUUUUUUUCCAUUUUGGCUAAAAUCAUCUUCAGGAAAUAGGACUUAAUGAUAACAGUGUCUUCAAGUAAGAAGGACAAUGACCAAAUAAGCCCUGUGGGUGUAGGAAUGUGUUCAGCUAUAAAUACUUCCCCUUAGCACAGAAGACUUCACAGUUGCCUUCAGAACCACCACCCCAAAUUUUCCCUUCAGGUAAGACUCAAGAGAGCAGGUAUGUAUAUUCAGACUAUCCAAAAGUUUUGGGUGUUUUGUCUUUAUCAUCACUGUCAAACAUCGGAUAUAUUUUUACUCAGUUAAUCCUCUCUCUCAAUAACUCUAUAAAACAGGGUUUUACAGAUGAAGAAAUUGAGGCAUGAUGACGUUAGUUCAUUUUGGGAUUAAAUAGCUAUUGAGGGAGUUCCCGUCGUGGUGCAGCAGAAAUGAAUUUGACCAGGAACCAUGAGGUUGCAGGUUCAAUCCCUGGCCUCGCUUAGGGGGUUAAGGAUCCAACAUUGCCGUGAGCUGUAGUGUAGGUCGCAGACGCGGUUGCGAUCUGGUGUUGCUGUGGCUGUGGCGUAGGCCGGCAGCUAGAGCUCCAAUUAGACCUCCUAGCCUGAGAACUUCCAUAUCCGCAUUUGCAUCCUAAAAAAAAAAGACAAAAGACAAAAAAAGAAAAAUACUAUUGAGUGUCAGAGCCAAGGGUUUGAAAGAGUAUCUGCACAACUCAGAACAAUACUCCUCUUGGGGCAGUUUUUGGAAAUUAAGCACACUCUAGGUGGGUAGAAGUGGUGGGUUUAUUUCCUUCAGCAAGUUUUCACCAGGUUAGAGAGAUGGGACUGGCCAGAUGAGGUGAGGGGAGAAAGAUACUGCUUGUGUGAUUAGGAUUUAGGUUCCAGCCUGCAUUGUCUAUAAGGUACCAACUGAAAUUCUUUCGAUUUCCAACAUGCCAGGAGGCCAGGGGGACUCUCGGCCACUUCCACUCCGCCUGCACAGUUCGAUUUGUUCUAGAUGAGGGAGCCAUGCAGAGAGGGUCCAGAGAGAAAAGAUUGGAGUCGUGCCAGACAGUGGGCAUCUUUCUCCUCGGGGCCUUUCCUGGGAGCUGAAGCUGUGUGAAAAGAGAAGAUAGAUAGUAGCUGCCCAUGAGCUAAUGAGAAAAACAUCUCAAAGGGAUGCUUAGGUGUUGUAUGAGCAAGGCCCUCCUCCUCUGAACAUGAAAUUUCUCCAUUGGUGCUUAGAAAUUUCCCUUCAGCACAGAUUUGCUUAUUCUUGUCCAAUCCAUAGUUGUCUAUUGAUUCUUGUGCUAUAAACAGAAACAGUUGCCUAGGAGUGCUAUCAAUUGUGUGUUAGUUUCUGAAGGUAAAUGGUUGCAAAAGCCAACUGAGUAAACAUUACCCUUACUAGAUGCCUUAAGUCCCCUAUCUAUACAUGAUUUGGGGUAGACUGCCUUUACUUCUUAGUGUUUCAGAAGCACUGGAAAAGACUAAAUGAAGGUACAGAAGGGAUGCCUACUUGCAGAGGUCUGGAGAUUAGCUGAUUCUUUCCUUAAAGAUACUGGAGGGAUCUAGGCCUAUUUGGGGCCUAUUGGGUUGGAGGUGCCCCAAGACCUCUGGUUGGAGCUGUCCAGCACAGAGCUGUGAACAGGGGAUGCAGGCUUAGUUCAGAGCUGGGGAGAGAGAGCUGGACCACGCAGUAGGAAUCAGCCACCCCUGCAUGUAGAAGGGCCUAGACAAGAAUGAGAAGACAUGUCAUUUUCUGCUCAGUUCUGUGGUGAAGUCUUCCUGUAAACUCAUCUCUAGGGUGUGAAUGACCUCAUCAACAUCCUUCCGCCUCUGAGAGAAGAGCUGCUGGAGACUCCUGGAUGUCUGGCCCAAAGCUGGAGGCUCUGAAAGGGCUGAGAGAUGAUUUGGAAGAUACCAUUUGACUGCUUUUUACUGACGUGACCAUAUGUCUACCCGGAGAUUGGAGACCUUGGACAGCUGGAGGAUCCAAGAUAACCUCCCUCCUCCUGUCUGGAUUCGCAGAAUAAAACCUUGUCAAAACAACAAAGGAAAAGUGGCCGGACUUCAGUUUAAGAGUUGGUUUAUGAGCACAACUCUGAAUGCAUGAUUUAAAAUGACAUUGGCUGGAGUUCCCGUCGUGGCGCAGUGGAAACGAAUCCAACUAGGAACCAUGAAGUUGCAGGUUCAAUCCCUGGCCUUGAUCAGUGGGUUAAGAAUCCGGCGUUGCUGUGAGCUGUGGUGAAGGGUCGCAGAUGUGGCUCAGAUCCCGUGUUGCUGUGGCUGUGGUGUAGGCUGGCAGCUGUAGCUCCAAUUUGACCCUAGCCUGGGAACCUCCACAUGCGGAUGUUUAUACUCUUUUCUUCAUCUUGGAACUAUCUAUUUGAUUUAAAGCUGAUCAAGGCCAUGACAUAGAGAGAAAGAACCCAGACCAAUGAAGACAAGAGAGCUGCUCUUUGUGUGACGCAUUUCCUCACCCAGCCGCAGAUUGCAACAGAGGAGAUGAGAUAAAGAUGAGGAACCUCAACAGAAAGGAUGGAUGUAAACAGUGGGUUUGCUGUGCAGUGACAAGAGCCCAGCUUGGGAAGGGUGUUGAGUGGGGUGAAGAUGUCACAGGAACUCACGAAAGCCAGAGGAGUUCACAGUUCAGAGAAGGUGGGUCUUCUAGCUGCUGAAGGCCACACAGCAACCCUUGUGGACAGUGGGGUCCAUUCUAAGGACCUGUUCGUGAAUCCAACUACUGAAGAGCCUUAACCAGUCUUCCCUCUGGGUUCUUUUCCUUUACAUUCCAUGAGUUGGAGAUGGACCGUCCUAGUGCAGUACUUGGAUGAAUGGCUGGAAUGAAAUGAUGCUUUUUGAGCUCCCAAGAGGAUGUAAAGGGCACAAGGUCACCUUUAUUGAACUGUUUUCCUGUUGGCCAUCCCUUCUGGGCCCCAAGUUCUGCAUUUGCAGCAUCUGGCACAGUGCUGGGCACAUCCUGAGCUUGAGAAAAGCUGGACAGGCUCAGGAAACAGAAGGAGUUUUCUGGGAACAGACUGGAGAGGAGGAGCCAGUUAAAGUGACAAAAGGCACAAGUUUGAACUUCCUGUGUCCUGCGCCUGCUGCCGGAGCAGGGCUCUGAGCUGCCUCCAGAAUGGCCCACUGGUCAUGGGGGAAGUAAGAGAGAUUUGCUCACAGCAGGGCAUUUACUUAUAAGCUGGCCCACCCUGGGAUUUGGCCUCGAUGGUGGACAAUCUCCCUGCAUAAGGAAACCCUCUGCAGGGAACUCUUCCAAGGGAGAAGGAGACCAGCCAGACAAGCCUGGCCCGGGAUCAAAGCUCUGGGCCUCAGAGGGUGGGCUGAGUCGAGGAUGGGCUGGAUCUAACUUCUGGGUCAGCGCCAUGAGCAGCGCAGACCCGGCAUGACAGCGGGAUUGGGGGGGGGGGCAGCACCCCUCCUCGUUGGCUCUUGGAACCUGGCCUUUUGGGCACCUGCCUAGGAGGUGUCAGAAACCAGCAGAGGCCAUGUGUGUGUGGUGGCCGCAGGGCUGGUCAUGCUCCAGGGGGUGGGAGGAGGCCUGGGAGGUGGGGCUGGUUUCUCAGAGACCCAGGACACUUGUUUCAAAAUCGGACGGAAAAAAAAAUGAACUUCUAAGACACAAAAGGUCACAUGCUGCAUGAUUCCAUUUAUAUGAAAUAUCCAGAAUAGGAAAAUCCUAAGAGACAGAAGGUAAAUUAGUGGUUGCCAGAGUCUGGGGAGAAGGGGAGAGUGGGCAGCGAUUGCUAAUGUGUUUGGGGUAUCUUGUUGGGGUGAUUAAAAUGUCCUGAAUUAGAUUGUGGUGAAGGUGGCACAAUCUUGAGACUAUACUAAAAACCACUGAAUUGUAUAUUUUAAAGUGGUCUACUUUAUGGCAUGUGGAUUAUAUCUCAAUAAAGCUAGUUGUUUU
rnacentral:lncRNA from 1 species